UACGUAGGGUGCGAGCGUUAAUCGGAAUUACUGGGCGUAAAGGGCGUGUAGGCGGUUUGUUAAGUCUGGCGUGAAAGCUCUCGGCUAAACCGGGAGAGGUCGUUGGAUACUGGCAAACUAGAGGACGGUAGAGGCGUGUGGAAUUCCGCGUGUAGCAGUGAAAUGCGUAGAUAUGCGGAGGAACACCGAUGGCGAAGGCAAUCCCCUGGGCCUGCACUGACGCUCAUGCACGAAAGCGUGGGGAGCAAACAGG
rnacentral:rRNA from 1 species